rnacentral:rRNA from 1 species
UACGGGGGGAGCAAGCGUUGUUCGGAUUUACUGGGCGUAAAGGGCGCGUAGGCGGUCAGCACAAGUCAGUUGUGAAAUCUCCGGGCUUAACCCGGAAAGGUCAACUGAUACUGUGCGACUAGAGUGCGGAAGGGGCAACUGGAAUUCUCGGUGUAGCGGUGAAAUGCGUAGAUAUCAGGAAGAACACCAAUGGCGAAGGCAGCUCUCUGGGAUGGUACUGACGCUGAGACGCGAAGGCGUGGGGAGCGAACAGG